CUAAGGAAUCAAAGCACCGCCCCGUGUUUAAACUAACAGACAGGCCAGCCGCCUCUCCCAACUCCACGGUACAGUGCGGAAUAGUUCGGAAUUACUUAUCGUAAAGCUCUGCGAUCGCUAGAAACAAGGCUAGGCGGUAUUCUCCGUAUCAGUUCUUAAAUUGGGAGUAAUUAAGCAAGCAGGUAAAUUGGGCACAAUCUGGGGAUCAUUGAGCCAUUUGUAAUUGCUUGUGAAUCCAGUUGGGAUCCAGUUUGUAAAAGAGCAAAGUAGUGGGGGGGGGGGAGUAAUGACAUUAUUCGAAAGCAGGAAAAUGGGUAACUGGGUCAGUUGAAGAAUCACUGCUCUAUAUUCUCAGAAGCUGUUUUUAACGCACCGUUUGUUCCAGGAUCGAUCCUCAUUUUAUCCUCCAGGAUUCCCCCCCCCCUCUCGCUCGCUCUCGAGCUUUCUCGACACCUGCUAAAGCCAGGCCUCCUCACGUGGAGAGCACCUCGAAGCUUAGUGCGCAUGCGUGCAUAUUUCCUUUACCCUAGGCAAAAGGGCGAGGAAGGUGUGUUCCUGGAAGAGAACGUCGCCCAGAUCUGCGAAGCUCGCAAACAGAAGUUAUUGCAACGUCUUCUGGUUUAGAAGCGCCACCUCUUUAAAAAAAAACUCCACGAGAACUGGUAGCUUACUCAGUGGAGGGGGGGGGGCGCUUUGUACCCGCUUACAGACCGUCUCCUUUUCAUGUUAUGACCACUUCCCAUGUUCCGGGAAUGAUCCCUGGCAAAUAACAAAAACAAAAAAAGGCACGUUUAGGGCUGAGCCCAGCUGCGUCCAGGCACAUCUCCAAAAGCAGCAACACCGUCGCCAAAAACAAAAACCCAGCCGCUCGAUACCUCAACAGCCAAUUGCCACGCAUAUCAAGCGCUCACCCAAAUCGACAGCAGCGACGGGUCAAAAUGAAAUUCCGCUACCCUGGAGAGUGAAAUAUGAAACUCACUAAAUGACGCGGUGGCUGGAUUCGCAGCAUACCUUAACCAGCCGGCUUCAGGUGAUUUCCUCCUCCUGCCAGAGAAGGAAGCGUCUUGGGAGGCAGCGCGGGAAGGAAAACGCACGGCUGAGUGGAAGAAGAAACGCUUAUACUUUCCCAGGAGUUGCAGAGCGCAUAGACAAAGGCGCAGGAGGAAAAGAGCCUCGCUCAGCUAUUGUUAGCCAACCUUCCAUUGUCCUGAGGGAGGUGGCCGGCGACGAACUACAUGGAUUACUAAGCAACUGAAAGAAAUGCUUCUUCACUCAAGUGACAGAUUUCUUAAGGCGGUUUCUCUUUAGGAAGUUGGAUUUCACUGCUCUUUGUGUAGCUGUAGAGAAGACUUGGCCAACAAGAUUGAACGUUAAUACUACUUCCCUCUUCUGUGACUUGAAAGGACAAAUACUAGUUACAGCCCCCACCUCCCAUCAUAAAAGAUGAGGGACAUUGCAUUGGCUGGGCUCCCACAUUAACAUGGGUGGCAACUAAGUUUAGAGCGGAGACUUUUAAAAACUAGCAAGAUGUUAUGGCAGCUUUCAUGAAGGAACACGUCAUCAAAAUGAUGGUUGCACAUUACCCCACACUUCUGCAACAUGGUCACCUCCAAUUGUUUUGGACUUGAACCCUCAUUUCUCCUCCUGGUACUUUUUGGUUGACUCACGUUUAUAGCUGCUGAAUUCAAAUAAUUUGGAUAGUAGCACACUGGGAAAGGCUGCUGCAGUUCAUGAAAACCGAGGGCACAAUAAAACCAUUCAAAAUGCCA